rnacentral:rRNA from 1 species
GAUGAACGCUAGCGACAGGCUUACCACAUGCAAGUCGAGGGGCAGCACAGGUAGCAAUACCGGGUGGCGACCGGCGCACGGGUGAGUAACGCGUAUGCAACUUGCCUAUCAGAGGGGGAGUAACCCGGCGAAGUCGGACUAAUACCGCAUGAAGCAGGGAUCCCGCAUGGGAAUAUUUGCUAAAGAUUCAUCGCUGAUAGAUAGGCAUGCGUUCCAUUAGGCAGUUGGCGGGGUAACGGCCCACCAAACCG